UCCGGUUUGUCACCGGCAGUCUCCAUAGAGUGCCCAACUGAAUGAUGGCAACUAGGGAUAGGGGUUGCGCUCGUUAAGGGACUUAACCCGACAUCUCACGAUACGAGCUGACGACAGCCAUGCAGCACCUGUCUCGUAGCCCCCGAAGGGGAAACCGUAUCUCUACGGCUGUCUACGGAUGUCAAACCCAGGUAAGGUUCUUCGCGUUGCAUCGAAUUAAACCACAUGCUCCACCGCUUGUGUGGGCCCCCGUCAAUUCCUUUGAGUUUUAACCUUGCGGCCGUACUUCCCAGGCGGGGUACUUAAUGCGUUAGCGUCGGCACUGCAGGGGUCAAUUCCCGCAACACCUAGUACCCAUCGUUUACGGCGUGGACUAC
rnacentral:misc_RNA from 1 species